rnacentral:tRNA from 1 species
UACUUCUUUAGUAUAAAGUAUAAUUGACUUCCAAUCAAUAGGACCGUCCAUGACGGAAGAAGUA